CCUACGGGUGGCAGCAGUAGGGAAUCUUGCGCAAUGGGCGGAAGCCUGACGCAGCCAUGCCGCGUGAAUGAUGAAGGUCUUAGGAUUGUAAAAUUCUUUCACCGGGGACGAUAAUGACGGUACCCGGAGAAGAAGCCCCGGCUAACUUCGUGCCAGCAGCCGCGGUAAUACGAAGGGGGCUAGCGUUGCUCGGAAUUACUGGGCGUAAAGGGCGCGUAGGCGGACAGUUUAGUCAGAGGUGAAAGCCCAGGGCUCAACCUUGGAAUUGCCUUUGAUACUGGCUGUCUUGAGUUCGGGAGAGGUGAGUGGAAUGCCGAGUGUAGAGGUGAAAUUCGUAGAUAUUCGGCGGAACACCAGUGGCGAAGGCGUCUCACUGGCCCGAUACUGACGCUGAGGCGCGAAAGCGUGGGGAGCAAACAGGAUUAGAUACCCCAGUAGUC
rnacentral:rRNA from 1 species